UAAAGUAGUAGUAUUUCAGUAGAUUUAAUUGUAAACGGAACCAUAUAUAUUGUCCUUCAUGUUAAAAAUAUUCUCAGCCUCAAGAAUUCUGUGGACUGUGAAUAUUUGUUGCUGCUGAUGAUGAAGUGAUUCUCUGUAAACACUGACUUAUCUACUGUUGUUGUUGUUCUCUCUACAGAUGGCGGUGAACAGGACGGUAUGUGAGCUGAGAGAGGAUGAGCUGAGUCCUGAUGAUCCAGAGGUUGAAUCAGCAGCAGUUUGUGUGUAGAGAGACUCUGACUGGACCAUGUUACUGGGAGGUGGAGUCAAGAGAUUAAAGAUCCUCAACAGAGCUGCACAAACUAUUAACACCAACAAGUAAAGACCAGUCCCUCUCCUGAAUUAUUGGACACAUUAAUCAACCAGCAUCAACAGUCUUUCUAUAUUCUAAUGUGUCUCUUCACUUCUGUAUUUAUUGUACUGUUUAUUUUACUCCUUUUUCAACCAAACAUUUAUUUCAUUUGAAAAGAAGCAGGAAGCAGUUUUCACACUGAGCCUCUGCUUUAUGUAUCAUUGUCAGAGAUGGAGAUAAACUAUUGUUGUUAUUGUGACACACUUUCAUCUACACUUUGCUUUGUUGUGCUUCACUCUUCACUGACUGGUUAAAGAGACGUUAUUUAAAAAAUGUCUCAGAAUUAAAAUUAAGAGCUCAGCGCCUUCAGAAAAACUUAAAGGCUCAUUUAAGACUUAAUUAAUGGCACUUUUAGGUUUUCCAUAAUGAUCGUUGCAAGUUCUUAUUACACUUUUGCACAAUAAUCUGCUUUUUUGCACUAUCUAUCUGACACUAAUUUCAUCAGUGUCCACGUUCUGUGAUCCUAGAAAUUUAUAUUGCAUUUUUUUUUUUCCAGUAUUUUUUAAAUUCCCUGCCCACACUUGAUAUACUGACUGUCAGAGUGCUGCAUAUUCUUGUGUAUUUUGUACCUUCUUUCAAACUUCAUACUGUCUUUUAUUGUUUGUAGAUUGCUUGUAUAUAUUUUCGUACCAAAUUCUGCACUACUGUGACAAGGUCAUUUCCCAUAUGUGCGAUAAAUAAACGUUGUUUUAUGUCUUAUUAUUGAAUGAAGGCUUUACUUCGAACACACAAAGAAAUCAAAAUAGUCAAAACUACAAAAACAAUGUCAACAUAAAAUGUCCGAAAGGGAGUAGGAAGACGCUUAUUUAAUCCUACACCUUCUCCUUUCUCAGUAAUUAAUGAUCAGUUUCUUAGUUUCCAUUUUUUACAGUGUACGUUAGGCGCUAGCUGUAGUUCAAUGAUGUGGCCACUGGAGGGCAGUGAUCGUGAUGGUUUCUCUGGUCGUUAUUAAAGCAAUAUCAUGUAAUUCAUCGUUUCACCGCCAGAUGGAGAAAAACUGUCACCGGUCAUUUUAUAUCGUAGAAGAAGAACCCGGAAGUAGUGAACAGGUGUUGAUCAGUCAAUGGUGUUGAUUAAUUAACCUGAUUAAUGUUGAGUUAGCAACUGACUUUGGUCUCACUGUAUAGGGAACAAAUAAGUAAAACCCGACAUGAAGACACCGAGAGUUAUAUCCAGGUGGAGAACAUGCUGAUGGAUCACCACAACCAGAGCAGCCUCAGGACGACACCACGACAAGAACCUGGACGGGAGGAUCUGAGGGGAAAGAUUCAGGUGGAGAAAUCCCUCCUGAGAAAAUCUAAAUGUCAACCAGAAAUCUUGAUGAACAACAAACAACAUUAAAGAAACUGUACAGUGAAGAAGAACAUUAGAAACCAGGUCCCUGCUCCUCUCCAGUGUAAAAGCUCCUCCUCAUGUUAGUACAUGUUUUCAUAUUAUAUCACUGUAUGUACUCGAAGUAGCUUAGUUUUCAUUCAUCUUUCUGUAUAUUUUAGCUUUGUAGGAAUUAAGGAUCUGCAGCGAAAACGAAUGAACUCAUUUCAUUUUGAAUAGUUUUUUAAUCAUAUUUUCAUAAAUCUGAAAUGUUUUCCUUGUUGAGUGCCUCAAACAUUUGAUGCUGUAACUAAUCAGACGUUGUGUGUAAACUCUUGUUGUUUUGCUCCAAAGAAUCUGUCACACGUGAAAA